rnacentral:rRNA from 1 species
AUGGAAGAAAGAGGUCACACGAAGCUAGCAAUGAAGAAGAAAUCUCAAGUGAAGACAGGAGGGAAUCUAAACCCAAGUGCAAAAAUGACCCCAAUAUCAAAACGAAAUCUUAUGUGCGCGACAACCACAAAGUUGGUCGGCGAGAUAUGGGGUGAUUACCCUGCAACCCAUUUCCCAAAGGAUUCAAAGGAGGGGGUGAGAAUGAUGAGCAAAAGGUAUUUGAGGAGGAACAGGAAGAAAAUGAAGAAGAUGAUGUUGAAGGGGAGGUUGAAGUUGGCGAGGAACAUGUUUCAUGGACCUUGCCACCAACAAGGUCUAGAGUGA